rnacentral:rRNA from 1 species
UACGAAGGGGGCUAGCGUUGUUCGGAGUUACUGGGCGUAAAGGGCGCGUAGGCGGCGCACCAAGUCAGGCGUGAAAGCCCUGGGCUCAACCCGGGAAUUGCGCUUGAGACUGGUGUGCUCGAGUACGGGAGAGGAUAGUGGAAUUCCUGGUGUAGCGGUGAAAUGCGCAGAUAUCAGGAGGAACACCAAUUGCGAAGGCAGCUCGCUGGGACGUAACUGACGCUGAGACGCGAAAGCGUGGGGAGCGAACAGG